rnacentral:rRNA from 1 species
GUCUCCGUAGGUGAACCUGCGGAGGGAUCAUUACACAAAUAUGAAGGCGGGCUGGAACCUCUCGGGGUUACAGCCUUGCUGAAUUAUUCACCCUUGUCUUUUGCGUACUUCUUGUUUCCUUGGUGGGUUCGCCCACCACAAGGACAAACAUAAACCUUUUGUAAUUGCAAUCAGCGUCAGUAACAAAUUAAUAAUUACAACUUUCAACAACGGAUCUCUUGGUUCUGGCAUCGAUGAAGAACGCAGCGAAAUGCGAUAAGUAGUGUGAAUUGCAGAAUUCAGUGAAUCAUCGAAUCUUUGAACGCACAUUGCGCCCUUUGGUAUUCCAAAGGGCAUGCCUGUUCGAGCGUCAUUUGUACCCUCAAGCUUUGCUUGGUGUUGGGCGUCUUGUCUCUAGCUUUGCUGGAGACUCGCCUUAAAGUAAUUGGCAGCCGGCCUACUGGUUUCGGAGCGCAGCACAAGUCGCACUCUCUAUCAGCAAAGGUCUAGCAUCCAUUAAGCCUUUUUUUCAACUUUUGACCUCGGAUCAGGUAGGGAUACCCGCUGAACUUAAGCAUAUCA